rnacentral:rRNA from 1 species
UACGUAGGGUGCGAGCGUUAAUCGGAAUUACUGGGCGUAAAGUGUGCGCAGGUGGCCGCGCAAGUCGAGUGUGAAAUCCCCAGGCUUAACCUGGGAACUGCAUUCGAGACUGCAUUGCUAGAGUAUGGGAGAGGGAAGUGGAAUUUCCGGUGUAGCGGUGAAAUGCGUAGAUAUCGGAAGGAACAUCAGUGGCGAAAGCGACUUCCUGGACCAAUACUGACGCUCAUGUGCGAAAGCGUGGGGAGCAAACAGG